AGCAUAUGUGGGUGCAUGAUAGUUGUUGCCAAAGAUAUCCAGGACCCAUCUUGCUAAGCUUUAGGCCUCCUUUGGUUUGAAGGAAUUUCAUAGGAAUUCUAGAGGAUAAAAUUUUUAUAGGAUUUUUUCCUUUAGAGCCCUUUGAUUCAUAGGAAUGGAUUCCUAUUCCUACAUAGGAUUGGUUCCUAUCCUCCACAUUUCAUAGGAAAAUAAAAAUGGGCCUAGACUCAAUGAAAAAAUUCCUUUGAUGUCAAUCAAAUGACAUCUCGUUUCCUAUUCCUGCUCAUAGGAUUUGAGAUACAUGUCAUCUCAUUUCCUACAAAAUUCAUAUUCCUAUGAUAAUCCUAUCCUAUGAACCAAACGAGGCCUUAGCGUGUGGCUUUUCACCAGCGGAGAUCUGAAUCUCAGGAACGUAGAGAUCUCGGAGUGCUUAUGGAGAGAGAUUGCCGAGUAGAAAUCAUCUUUUGAUAGUUGCCGCUUUAUUCAUGAGCGUACAAACUUUAAUUUCAAGGCGCAUAGCCUUGCAAAGGACACGUCGUCUUUAGGUACAGGACGCCAUAUUUGGCCCGGUCAUUCCUACGACCCUAUUUCUGUACCUUUAAACAUUCUUACUUCCAAGUACGUAAUAAAGUUGCGUGCGUUUGCGUAAAGAAAAGCUACGAUCACACCCGGCACUCCGGCGAGGCGUUAUCGAGGGUGAAGUCGAGCUGCGUCUUGGCGGCGUAGGUGAACGUUAUAUGGGCUUGCCGUUGAAGAUCGGCCAGCCGCUGUUGAUGAGGCAGUGGCCUUGCUUCCGGCUCAGCAGGCGGAGCUUGGUCGUGUCCGGGAU
rnacentral:lncRNA from 1 species